GGGUUGUGAGGUUAAGCGACUAAGCGUACACGGUGGAUGCCCUGGCAGUCAGAGGCGAUGAAGGGCGUGCUAAUCUGCGAUAAGCGCCGGUAAGGUGAUAUGAACCGUUAUAACCGGCGAUACCCGAAUGGGGAAACCCAGUGUGAUUCGUCACACUAUCAUUAACUGAAUCCAUAGGUUAAUGAGGCGAACCGGGGGAACUGAAACAUCUAAGUACCCCGAGGAAAAGAAAUCAACCGAGAUUCCCCCAGUAGCGGCGAGCGAACGGGGAGGAGCCCAGAGCCUGAAUCAGCAUGUGUGUUAGUGGAAGCGUCUGGAAAGUCGCGCGAUACAGGGUGACAGCCCCGUACACAAAAGCGCAUGUGCUGUGAGCUCGAUGAGUAGGGCGGGACACGUGGUAUCCUGUCUGAAUAUGGGGGGACCAUCCUCCAAGGCUAAAUACUCCUGACUGACCGAUAGUGAACCAGUACCGUGAGGGAAAGGCGAAAAGAACCCCGGCGAGGGGAGUGAAAAAGAACCUGAAACCGUGUACGUACAAGCAGUGGGAGCACAGGUUUACCUGUGUGACUGCGUACCUUUUGUAUAAUGGGUCAGCGACUUAUAUUCUGUAGCAAGGUUAACCGUAUAGGGGAGCCGGAGGGAAACCGAGUCUUAAUUGGGCGUUAAGUUGCAGGGUAUAGACCCGAAACCCGGUGAUCUAGCCAUGGGCAGGUUGAAGGUUGGGUAACACUAACUGGAGGACCGAACCGACUAAUGUUGAAAAAUUAGCGGAUGACCUGUGGCUGGGGGUGAAAGGCCAAUCAAACCGGGAGAUAGCUGGUUCUCCCCGAAAGCUAUUUAGGUAGCGCCUCGUGAAUUCAUCUCCGGGGGUAGAGCACUGUUUCGGCUAGGGGGCCAUCCCGGCUUACCAACCCGAUGCAAACUGCGAAUACCGGAGAAUGUUAUCACGGGAGACACACGGCGGGUGCUAACGUCCGUCGUGAAGAGGGAAACAACCCAGACCGCCAGCUAAGGUCCCAAAGUCAUGGUUAAGUGGGAAACGAUGUGGGAAGGCCCAGACAGCCAGGAUGUUGGCUUAGAAGCAGCCAUCAUUUAAAGAAAGCGUAAUAGCUCACUGGUCGAGUCGGCCUGCGCGGAAGAUGUAACGGGGCUAAACCAUGCACCGAAGCUGCGGCAGCGACACUGUGUGUUGUUGGGUAGGGGAGCGUUCUGUAAGCCUGUGAAGGUGUGUCGUGAGGCAUGCUGGAGGUAUCAGAAGUGCGAAUGCUGACAUAAGUAACGAUAAAGCGGGUGAAAAGCCCGCUCGCCGGAAGACCAAGGGUUCCUGUCCAACGUUAAUCGGGGCAGGGUGAGUCGACCCCUAAGGCGAGGCCGAAAGGCGUAGUCGAUGGGAAACGGGUUAAUAUUCCCGUACUUGGUGUUACUGCGAAGGGGGGACGGAGAAGGCUAUGUUGGCCGGGCGACGGUUGUCCCGGUUUAAGCGUGUAGGUGUGUGUUCCAGGUAAAUCCGGUUCACUUUAACACUGAGGCGUGACGACGAGGCACUACGGUGCUGAAGCAACAAAUGCCCUGCUUCCAGGAAAAGCCUCUAAGCAUCAGGUAACAUCAAAUCGUACCCCAAACCGACACAGGUGGUCAGGUAGAGAAUACCAAGGCGCUUGAGAGAACUCGGGUGAAGGAACUAGGCAAAAUGGUGCCGUAACUUCGGGAGAAGGCACGCUGACACGUAGGUGAAGUGAUUUACUCAUGGAGCUGAAGUCAGUCGAAGAUACCAGCUGGCUGCAACUGUUUAUUAAAAACACAGCACUGUGCAAACACGAAAGUGGACGUAUACGGUGUGACGCCUGCCCGGUGCCGGAAGGUUAAUUGAUGGGGUCAGCGCAAGCGAAGCUCCUGAUCGAAGCCCCGGUAAACGGCGGCCGUAACUAUAACGGUCCUAAGGUAGCGAAAUUCCUUGUCGGGUAAGUUCCGACCUGCACGAAUGGCGUAAUGAUGGCCAGGCUGUCUCCACCCGAGACUCAGUGAAAUUGAACUCGCUGUGAAGAUGCAGUGUACCCGCGGCAAGACGGAAAGACCCCGUGAACCUUUACUAUAGCUUGACACUGAACAUUGAGCCUUGAUGUGUAGGAUAGGUGGGAGGCUUUGAAGCGUGGACGCCAGUCUGCGUGGAGCCGACCUUGAAAUACCACCCUUUAAUGUUUGAUGUUCUAACGUGGACCCGUGAUCCGGGUUGCGGACAGUGUCUGGUGGGUAGUUUGACUGGGGCGGUCUCCUCCUAAAGAGUAACGGAGGAGCACGAAGGUUGGCUAAUCCUGGUCGGACAUCAGGAGGUUAGUGCAAUGGCAUAAGCCAGCUUGACUGCGAGCGUGACGGCGCGAGCAGGUGCGAAAGCAGGUCAUAGUGAUCCGGUGGUUCUGAAUGGAAGGGCCAUCGCUCAACGGAUAAAAGGUACUCCGGGGAUAACAGGCUGAUACCGCCCAAGAGUUCAUAUCGACGGCGGUGUUUGGCACCUCGAUGUCGGCUCAUCACAUCCUGGGGCUGAAGUAGGUCCCAAGGGUAUGGCUGUUCGCCAUUUAAAGUGGUACGCGAGCUGGGUUUAGAACGUCGUGAGACAGUUCGGUCCCUAUCUGCCGUGGGCGCUGGAGAACUGAGGGGGGCUGCUCCUAGUACGAGAGGACCGGAGUGGACGCAUCACUGGUGUUCGGGUUGUCAUGCC
rnacentral:rRNA from 1 species